CCAAACACUGCCUGAUGUUUUAAAGGGCUUGUGAAAGGACAUGUAUUCUUGAAACUUCAGAAAAUGUGGGCCAUUUACUAAGUGCAUCUAAGGUCAAGUGUUAAAAGUCAUGUCCACGAAUGUGAAAAGUCAUGUUUAUAUUUGUCAAAGGCAUGCUCAUAUGUCACCCCCUCCUUGACCAAGCCUCCAUGUGAUAGGGCACCUUCUAAGUGGUUGUCCAGCUAAAUUGCCUAACUGCCAGCCCUCCGUUAGGGCAGCUCAUGAGGGUCAGAUAUGUGGGUCCAUUCACCCUGUAUUAGGGAGACAAUUUGUACCAUCAGGCUAGCUUGCAUCCUGAGUCUUGAUGACUGGUGUUAAAGCUGAUGUUUUGAUAAUUAUUGUUAUUUUGUAUCUAGUGCCUAACAGCUGAAUACUUUUUUUUAAUAAAGAUUUUAUUUAUUUAUUCAUGAAAGACACAGAGAGAGAGGCAGAGACACAGGCAGAGGGAGAAGCAGGCUCCAUGCAGGGAGCCUGACGUGGGACUCGAUCCCAGGACUCCAGGAUCACACCCUGAGCUGAAGGGAGAUGCACAGCCACUGAGCCACCCAGGUAUUCAAUGACCACUGAAUAAUGGAAGGAGGACCCAGAUUAACAGCGCUACAUGCAUCCAGCAAUAACAUAGAUUCUACUAAGAUACUUGGAAAAUUAGUAAAGAUGGCUAAUUUUCCAAAGAAAAUGAGGUACUUUGAAGCUUCACAAUUAUUCGCU
rnacentral:lncRNA from 12 species